AAGCGCCCGAAGCCGCGAGGCGACGGGCGUGCUCGCCGGAUACGGAACCGACCCGGGGACCGCCGGGGCAACCCGGCGCCCCCGAGACGGGGCGAACCACGGUGAAACGACGGAUCGUCGGCCCCGCGCCGGCGACUCGCCGAAUGAGUUUCUGACCUAUCAACUCGAGACGGCGGGGUAGAGGCCCGCCGCGGUAACGACGGGUAACGGGGAAUCAGGGUUCGAUUCCGGAGAGGGAGCCCGAGAAACGGCUACCACUUCCAAGGAAGGCAGCAGGCGCGCAACUUACCCUAAUCUCGAUUCGAGGAGGUAGUGACAAGAAAUACCGAUGCGGGACCCUACGGGUGCCGCGUUCGGAAUGAGUACGAUUCGAACCACCUAACGAGGAACGAUCGGAGGGCAAGUCUGGUGCCAGCAGCCGCGGUAAUUCCAGCUCCAAUAGCGUACGUUAAAGUUGCUGCAGUUAAAAAGCUCGUAGUUGAACGUCCGGGUUCCGCGGGACGGGGCCGCCCCGCGAGGGACGGCGCCGCCCUGGGGCCCGUGGGAUCCGGAUCUCGCCGCCCGUCGCGAGGCGGACGGAGGGACGGA
rnacentral:rRNA from 1 species